UACGUAGGGUGCGAGCGUUAAUCGGAAUUACUGGGCGUAAAGUGUGCGCAGGCGGCCGCGCAAGUCGAGUGUGAAAUCCCCGAGCUUAACUUGGGAAUUGCGCUCGAAACUACGUGGCUGGAGUGUGGCAGAGGAAGGUGGAAUUCCACGUGUAGCAGUGAAAUGCGUAGAGAUGUGGAGGAACACCGAUGGCGAAGGCAGCCUCCUGGGCCAACACUGACGCUCAUGCACGAAAGCGUGGGGAGCAAACAGG
rnacentral:rRNA from 1 species